CACCACCACUCAUUUCUCUCUCUCUCUCUCUCUCUCUCUCUCAACCCCCCUUGAAGCUAGCCGAAACUUGUGGGGGAUUAUUAUUGAGAGACCACAAAGUUUGUGUUUUUUGUGUGAGUGUGUCACCAUGUGAAUAAAUCUCUCUCUCAAUAUUUCUCUCUAUGAAGAACAAAAAAAAGACCACUAAGGAAGCUUUGUUUUUUGAGGGGAAUGUUGUCUGGCUCGAGGACUCUUCUUCUUGAUCUAUAAAGAAGUGUAGUAUUCUCGGACCAGGCUUCAUUCCCCCCAAUUAUAUGCUUCCAAUAUUCAUCCUCCAAGGGAGUGAUACUUUCAUGUAUGUAUGUAUAUAUAUAUAGGUUUGGUUCAUCUUCUCUCUCUAAAAAUUUAAUUUUUUUUUUUGGUUUGAAUGGAUGAAAGUUUUGUUUUUUUCUGAAAUAUAGGUAGAUCUGAAUAAUGGGUUUUGGUUUUUUGGUCGUUGAAUUAAAAGAUGUUUGUUUAGUUUGCAGAUUGGUGUAAUGAUGAAGCAUUUUGACCAAUUUUUUUUCACAAAAGGUUUUCAUCAUUACUUCCUUUUCGUUUUUCUUUCUCUGAUCAUGUUAUGAUGUUGUUUUUGUUGUCAGAUGUAACACUUUUUUCUUCUUGUUCAUCAUUACAGCUAGAUCUUCUACCAAUUACAAUGUUUUUUUUCUCGGAUCUGUUUGUUUCUGCCAUGUUUUUUUUCAGAUCUAGCUACCCUUUUGAACUUAGAUCAACAUUCCCUCUUUUUUUCAACUCCUUUCUCACCCCUUUUCAUUUUAUCCCUUUCUCUUUCUCUCUCUCUCUAUCUUUAGGGUUUCAUUUCAUGGCAAAUACUGUAAUUUUUUUUCAUAUAAUCUUUAUGAUUCAUCUAUGUUACUCUGAUCUUGGCUUUUAGAUGCAGAAGCAAGUGUGUGAGAUAUUUUGAUUACUUGUCUUUUCAUCAUUUGUCAAGUGUGUGGUCAAAUCAAGCUUUAACUUCUAAAUUUAUUAAAAUUAAAAAGGACCAAUUAAAGUAUAGUCAAGAUCAUUUGUAAUUUUGAACCUCCAUUUUCUUAUUGGCUUAAUGUUUUUUGAUUUCAAGUAAUAAACAAUUUAGAUCUCUUCAAUAUUUUACAAUUUUAUUGUUUGUUACAUGCAUAUUUUAUGAGAUUGUAAGUUGAUAGAUUUGUUUUGUUGUUAUCAUAAGAUGAAAUACAUUAAGAUUUAGAUUUAGAUUUCUAGCUUAUUUGAGUUCAAUAAUGCCACUCAGAUCUAUACUUUUCUCUGUUUUUCUCUGUAAUCUAUUAUACCAAUUUUGUUAUUAAAAAUAGUUAGAUCUAGGACUAAUGAUACAUGAUAUCAUAGAAUAAAGUUUUUAAUGUAUGGUUUAAUUUAUUUUGUUUGUGUGUGAUGUAGAACCAUAUGUGGUUGGUUCUUCACAUUCAAAGUAUAAUAUGCAUCAUUUGUUUGUGAUUAACUAAGAAUGCUGAUUAUGCUUUUGAAAAAGAAAUUAAAGGGUCCUUCUUCAUCAAUGAUUAACCAAGCAAUGUUCUUCAAGGUAAGGAAGAGGUAAUCAUGUUCAUGAAUUAAUGCAACAAUUCUGCUAUUUUCACCCCCACCACACACACACCUGCACAAAAAAGUUUUGUAGGUGAAAGGUGUGAGCAACUAAGCCAUGUCCAAGAAGGCAUAUCAUUGCAAAGGAGAGGGAUUUGGAAGAGACAACAACGUGAAUGAAAAAUCUGAUUCAGAAUGGUUGCAAAAGCUAGCUAGGGACAUAGGGAACACGAAUGACACAAUUACACAGUGCUCAUCUCAUCACUGCUUUUCUUUAUCAUCACCAUAUAUAGUCCAAAUAAUACAUGUUCAUACUUGCACGCAAAUGUAUACUUUACAAAUAUCAACGCAAAUCAUGUAUCUAAAAGUAAACUUUUUAAGUAAUAAUUCUUCAAGAAUUUAUUGCUUCAUGAAUAAGGUUUUAAAGUUUUAUCACAAAACACUGGAUUCACAGUGAUUUUGACAAAUCUAUUGUGAUACCAAACAUGAAUUAUAUUAUAUUGAUACAUAAUGUCUUUAUUUUUUUCAA